AGAGUUUGAUCCUGGCUCAGAACGAACGCUGGCGGCAGGCUUAACACAUGCAAGUCGAGCGAGGUCUUCGGGCCUAGCGGCGGACGGGUUAGUAACGCGUGGGAACGUGCCCUUCACUACGGAAUAGUCCCGGGAAACUGGGUUUAAUACCGUAUACGCCCUUCGGGGGAAAGAAUUUCGGUGAAGGAUCGGCCCGCGUCUGAUUAGGUAGUUGGUGGGGUAAUGGCCUACCAAGCCUACGAUCAGUAGCUGGUUUUAGAGGAUGAUCAGCAACACUGGGACUGAGACACGGCCCAGACUCCUACGGGAGGCAGCAGUGGGGAAUCUUAGACAAUGGGCGCAAGCCUGAUCUAGCCAUGCCGCGUGAGUGAUGAAGGCCUUAGGGUCGUAAAGCUCUUUCGCUGGGGAAGAUAAUGACGGUACCCAGUAAAGAAACCCCGGCUAACUCCGUGCCAGCAGCCGCGGUAAUACGGAGGGGGUUAGCGUUGUUCGGAAUUACUGGGCGUAAAGCGCGCGUAGGCGGACUGUUAAGUCGGGGGUGAAAUCCCGGGGCUCAACCCCGGAACGGCCUUCGAUACUGGCAGUCUGGAGUUCGAGAGAGGUGAGUGGAAUUCCGAGUGUAGAGGUGAAAUUCGUAGAUAUUCGGAGGAACACCAGUGGCGAAGGCGGCUCACUGGCUCGAUACUGACGCUGAGGUGCGAAAGUGUGGGGAGCAAACAGGAUUAGAUACCCUGGUAGUCCACACCGUAAACGAUGAAUGCCAGUCGUCGGGUAGUAUACUGCUCGGUGACACACCUAACGGAUUAAGCAUUCCGCCUGGGGAGUACGGUCGCAAGAUUAAAACUCAAAGGAAUUGACGG
rnacentral:rRNA from 1 species